rnacentral:rRNA from 1 species
AGCUCGUGUCGUGAGAUGUUGGGUUAAGUCCCGCAACGAGCGCAACCCCUACCGUGUGUUACCAUCAUUAAGUUGGGGACUCGGCACGGAACUGCCGGUGAUAAACCGGAGGAAGGUGGGAUGACGUCAAAUCCUCAUGGCCUUUAUGUCCGGGGCUACACACGUGCUACAAUGGUCGGUACAGAAGGAAGCGAAGUCGUGAGAUGGAGCAGAUCCGAGAAAGCCGAUCUCAGUUCGGAUUGGAGUCUGCAACUCGCCUACAUGAAGUCGGAAUCGCUAGUAAUCGCGGAUCAGCACGCCGCGGUGAAUACGUUCCCGGGCCUU